UACGUAGGGUGCAAGCGUUGUCCGGAAUUAUUGGGCGUAAAGAGCUCGUAGGCGGUUCGUCACGUCGGCUGUGAAAACCUGAGGCUCAACCUCAGGCCUGCAGUCGAUACGGGCGGACUUGAGUACUGCAGGGGAGACUGGAAUUCCUGGUGUAGCGGUGGAAUGCGCAGAUAUCAGGAGGAACACCGGUGGCGAAGGCGGGUCUCUGGGCAGUAACUGACGCUGAGGAGCGAAAGCGUGGGGAGCGAACAGG
rnacentral:rRNA from 1 species